GUUUUAAUAGUUUAAAUUAAAAUAUUGAUUUUGUAAAUCAAAGAUGAGAAAAUCCUUUUAAAACU
rnacentral:tRNA from 1 species